rnacentral:rRNA from 1 species
UACGUAGGGUCCGAGCGUUGUCCGGAAUUACUGGGCGUAAAGAGCUCGUAGGUGGUUUGUCGCGUUGUUCGUGAAAACUCACAGCUCAACUGUGGGCUUGCAGCUGAUACGGGCAGGCUUGAGUUCGGUAGGGGAGACUGGAAUUCCUGGUGUAGCGGUGAAAUGCGCAGAUAUCAGGAGGAACACCGGUGGCGAAGGCGGCUUGCUGGGCCUUACCUGACGCUGAGGAGCGAAAGCGUGGGUAGCAAACAGG